UGCCAGCCGCCGCGGUAAUACGGAAGGUGCAAGCGUUAAUCGGAAUUACUGGGCGUAAAGCGCGCGUAGGUGGUUUAUUAAGUUGGAUGUGAAAUCCCCGGGCUCAACCUAGGAACUGCAUCCAAAACUAACUCACUAGAGUACGAUAGAGGGAGGUAGAAUUCAUAGUGUAGCGGUGGAAUGCGUAGAUAUUAUGAAGAAUACCGGUGGCGAAGGCGGCCUCCUGGAUCUGUACUGACACUGAGGUGCGAAAGCGUGGGUAGCGAACAGGAUUAGAUA
rnacentral:rRNA from 1 species